rnacentral:lncRNA from 1 species
UCGUGAUUAUAUAUUUUUAUUUCAACAUUAGAUUCUUUUUUUAAUUUUUUUUAUACUCUAAAAAGAGCCGUUUUUUUAUCUGCAAUUGUCUUCUUUUGUAAUAUUCUGUCCCAGGGUAAUGACUUUUACCGCUUCUUCAGAAGUGUUUUAACAUUUGGUUUUCCUUAAACACUGCAGUGUAAACCGAUUUGUCAGUUCCUAUCUCUGUAUGUUUCUCUUUAUACGAUUUAUUGCAUUGCCUUCCUCUCUGCAUGGUCAACUAAGUGGAUUGUUUCUUCACAGUUCCGUUAAUUCUGGUACCAUUCUAACAUCAACGUUGACUUACGACUUUUCCCCCCAACACGAAAUGGUUAUUCCCAUGUGACUCCGACUUUGACUAAAGAC